rnacentral:rRNA from 1 species
GGAGCAUCCAUGAGUAAAGUGGCGUACGGGUGAGUAACACGUGGGUAAUCUACCUCUUGGUGGGGAAUAACCCUGGGAAACCGGGGCUAAUACCGCAUAAGCUCGGAAGAGGAAGCCCGAAAGGGGCCGAGAGAGGAGCCCGCGGCCGAUUAGCUAGUUGGUGAGGUAAAGGCUCACCAAGGCGAUGAUCGGUAGCCGGCCUGAGAGGGCACACGGCCACACUGGCACUGAAACACGGGCCAGACUCCUACGGGAGGCAGCAGUGGGGAAUCUUGCACAAUGGGGGCAACCCUGAUGCAGCGACGCCGCGUGAGCGAUGAAGCCCUUCGGGGUGUAAAGCUCUUUCGGCCGGAACGAUGAUGACGGUACCGGCAGAAGAAGCUGCGGCUAACUACGUGCCAGCAGCCGCGGUAAUACGUAGGCAGCGAGCGUUGUUCGGAGUUACUGGGCGUAAAGAGUGCGUAGGCGGUGCUCUAAGUUUGGUGUGAAAUCUCCCGGCUCAACUGGGAGGGUGCGCCGAAAACUGGAGUGCUCGAGUGUGGGAGAGGUAAGCGGAAUUCCUGGUGUAGCGGUGAAAUGCGUAGAUAUCAGGAGGAACACCUGCGGUGUAGACGGCUUACUGGACCAUGACUGACGCUGAGGCACGAAAGCGUGGGGAGCAAACAGGAUUAGAUACCCUGGUAGUCCACGCCCUAAACGAUGCAUACUUGGUGUGAGCGAUUCAUUUCGUUCGUGCCGGAGCUAACG